rnacentral:rRNA from 1 species
UACAGAGGGUGCGAGCGUUGUUCGGAAUUAUUGGGCGUAAAGGGCGCGUAGGCGGUGCGGUAAGUCACCUGUGAAAUCUCCUGGCUCAACUGGGAGCUUGCAGGCGAAACUGCCGUGCUGGAGUGUGGGAGAGGUGCGUGGAAUUCCCGGUGUAGCGGUGAAAUGCGUAGAUAUUGGGAGGAACACCAGAUGCGAAGGCGGGUCACUGGGCUGAUACUGACGCUGAAGCGCGAAAGCCAGGGGAGCGAACGGG